rnacentral:lncRNA from 1 species
GCCUUGUCAAUUUUUUUUUAUUGUGUCGAAAAGCACAUCACAUAAAAUUUACUAUCUUAACCGUUUUAAAUGCACAGUUCAAUGACGUUAAAUACAUUGAUAAUGUUGUGCAACCGUCACCACCAUCCAUCUCCAGAACACUUUUCAUCUUGUAGGACUGGAACUGCACCCAGUGAACAGGAACUCCCUGUUCCUCCCCCAUUCCCUGGCAAUCACCAGUCUACUUUCUGUUUCCGUGGUUUUGGCUCCUCUAGGCAUCUCGUGUGAGCGGACUCAUACAAUAUUUGUCCUCUGUGUCUGCUGUAGUUUAGUUAGCGUAAUGCUUCAGGGUUCAUCCGUGUUGAGGCGUGUGUCAGAAUUCCCUUCCUUUUUAAGGCGGAGUAAUAUCCCAUUGUAUGCGUAGAGGCCGCAUCACGUUCAUCCGCUCCUCUGGGGAGGGACACUUGGGUGGCUUCCGUGGUGUGGCUCAUGUGCUGCGGUCUUGUCAGUUUUUAGCCAUGGCUCGGGAAAGUGACUUGGCCCCUCAGUACCUCCGUUUCCUCAUCCAUUACAUCGGAGCCUGUCCUCUACGUGGGACUGAAAGAUGGCGUCUUGCUGUGUUGCUUGG